rnacentral:lncRNA from 1 species
GCGGACGUCCGCACGGCGAUGCAGUAGCGGCGUUCCAAGUGAUGACGGCGGCUCGGGGCUUGGUGGACGGAGGCCGGAGGCAUCCCGGACGAUUCUGGGCAGCGUUCGAGGUCAGAGGAGGUCGGAGUUGCAGGUUUCUGGGCAGCGACCUCACCUGCAACUGCAGGUUUCUGGGCAGAGCUGCAACCACGUCGCCGGCGACUCCACCGACUGCAGACCGGUCCGUCCGACCCCUGGCGUCCGUCCGGCAAGCCCCGCCUCUCCGUCGCGCCCCGAGCCGAGCUGCAGAGUCGACGUCCGC